rnacentral:rRNA from 1 species
GAGGUGAUAUCUGGCUCAGAGUUGUACGCGGGCGGCAUGCGCUUACACACAUCAAGUCGGACGGCAGCACGGGGGCGACCCCGGUGGCGAGUGGCGCACGGGUGAGUGAUACAUCGGAACGUGUCUCUGUAGUGGGGGAUAGCCCGGCGAAAGCCGGAGAAAUACCGCAUACGAUAUACGGGAGAAAGCGGGGGAUCUUUCGGGACCUCGCGCUAUAGGGGCGGCCGAUGGCAGAUUAGCUAGUUGGUGGGGUAAAGGCCUACCAAGGCGACGAUCUGUAGCUGGUCUGAGAGGACGACCAGCCACACUGGGACUGAGACACGGCCCAGACUCCUACGGGAGGCAGCAGUGGGGAAUUUUGGACAAUGGGGGAAACCCUGAUCCAGCAAUGCCGCGUGUGUGAAGAAGGCCUUCGGGUUGUAAAGCACUUUUGUCCGGAAAGAAAACUUCUGCCCUAAUACGGUGGGAGGAUGACGGUACCGGAAGAAUAAGCACCGGGGCUA